GCUGCAUGGGGAUGAACUGGAGACAGAAAGCAGAAGCUGUAGGGAACUUGCUUCUAUCCACGGCACGCUCUGGCUAUGGUUGAAAUACCUUGUUUAAAAAAUACCCAAGAGACCACAGUCUUCAUAGCAUCAAUAUUCAUCAUAGCUAAAACAUGAAAAUAAUCUAGGGGGCUGGAGAGAUGACUCAGCAGUUAAGAGCACUGACUGCUCUUCCAGAGAUCCUGAGUUCAAUACCCAUCAACCACAUGGUGUCUCACAACCAUCUGUAAUGAGAUGUGAUGCCCUCUUCUGGUGUGUCUGAAGACAGCUACA
rnacentral:lncRNA from 1 species